rnacentral:rRNA from 1 species
UUGAAAGGGAAACGAUUGAAGUCAGUCGUACCAGCGGGAAAUCAACCUUUCGAGUGGGGGUUUUGGAGUUUUGAAGAGUGUCAAAACCUUUGAGAUUUCAAAAUUUUCGCUCCUUUGGUGUACUUUCUCGUGGGUAGGUUAACAUCGAUUUUGAUCAUCAUAAAAAGAUUGGAGGAAUGUAGCUUCGAUCUUGUAUUGAAGUGUUAUAGCCUUUGGUAAAUGUGAUGAUUAGGAUCGAGGAUUGCAACGAAUACCCUUUUGGGCUAUCCGCCUGAUCUCUGAUACGUGGCCUUGGUAUCGAAAGCUUGCUUAUGGUAUUAAGGUAUUACGGUCAAAAGGUUAGAACGGAUUACAUUCGUUAAGGAUGUUGACGUA